GGAAGCGGCCGAUCGCAUCGAGAGCUUGUGGAGCUGCGGCCCGUCCCUCACGGAGGACGCGCGCCGUUGCUCCGGCCCGGGGCCGUCUGCUGGCUUCCAGCCGGGCACCCAGCCCUUGCGGGUGCCGAGGUGGCUGGCGAAGGCACCCUUCCCGCUUCCUUCUGCUCAUUCCCCAGUUGGCUCCUGGCUUCUCCCAUGGCCUGUUCUGUGGCCGCCUAGGUCGGGCGUCUGUGGCUGCAGGCUGCGCUCCUCCCGGCGCAGGACGCUGGGCUGCCUCCGGGGCAGGGCUGGCCGCCGCGGUCUCCAUGGUAACGGCCAGGCGGACGGCCGGGCCUCUGGGGGAAGAUGCGGCCUGCCGGGCCCGCCGCCUCGCCCCCGGCCUCUCGGUCCGGCGGGGGUCACUGAGCAGCGGGGGCCCGGCCGGCAGCCUGCCUGGCAGCGGGCACCAGUGAGAUCCCAUUUCUCUGGCUGGAGACACAGAUGGCCUCAAAUGAGAGAGAUGCUAUAUCAUGGUAUCAGAAGAAGAUUGGAGCAUAUGAUCAGCAGAUAUGGGAAAAGUCAAUCGAACAGACUCAGAUUAAGGGUUUCAAAAACAAACCAAAAAAAAUGGGCCAUAUAAAACCAGACUUGAUUGAUGUUGACUUAAUCAGAGGCUCAACAUUUGCCAAAGCCAAGCCUGAGAUUCCAUGGACCUCGCUCACUCGGAAGGGGCUUGUUCGAGUGGUGUUUUUCCCGUUGUUCAGCAGCUGGUGGAUUCAGGUUACCUCUCUCAGAAUCUUUGUUUGGUUGCUGCUACUUUACCUCAUGCAAGUCACAGCGGUUGUGUUGUAUCUCCUGAUGCCUAUUGUGAGCGCCAGUGAAGUGCUUGGACCCUUGUGCCUUAUGCUACUCAUGGGAACUGUCCACUGUCAGAUUGUGUCGACUCAGAUAACAAGGCCGUCAGGAAACAAUGGAAAUCGGAGAAGAAGAAAAUUACGAAAAACUGUAAAUGGUGAUGGGAGCCGAGACAAUGGAAAUAACUCCCCUGAUAAAGUCAGAGCAGUAGAAACUCUGGAGUCUGCAUCCAGUGUUGGUGGUUUUUGGGGGACUCUCUUUGGCAACAGGAUUAAAAGGGUGAAAUUAGUAUCUAACAAAGGUACUGAAACUGACAAUGACUCAGGCUGUUUCCAUCCUAUCCUUAAGAAGAGACAGGGUCGACCCGAGAUCAGAAUGUGGCAAGCAAGAGAGAAAGCGAAGGUUUCGGAUGGAGAAAAGUGCCGUAGGGAGGCUUAUAGGCGUUUGGGUAAUGGAAUUUCAGACGAUCUGUCAAGUGAGGAGGAUGGUGAAGCACGGACACAGAUGAUAUUAUUGCGUAGGAGUGUGGAAGGGGCGUCAAGUGACAAUGGUUAUGAAGUUAAGAAUAGAAGGUCAAUACUUUCAAGGCACCUAAAUUCUCAGGUAAAGAAAACCACAAGGUGGUGUCAUAUUGUUCGGGAUUCAGAUAGUCUGGCUGAAUCAGAGUUUGAAUCAGCAGUCUUCAGCCAGGGUUCUAGAUCUGGUAUGAGUGGUGGCUCUCGGAGCCUUAACUUGUCAAGAAGAGACUCAGAAAGCACCCGACAUGACUCCGAGACUGAGGAUAUGUUAUGGGAUGACCUUCUCCAUGGUCCAGAGUGCCGGUCAUCUGUCACCAGUGACAGUGAGGGGGCUCAUGUAAAUACCAUUCAUUCAGGGACCAAACGUGACCCCAAAGAAGAUGUUUUUCAGCAGAACCAUUUAUUCUGGCUUCAGAAUUCAAGUCCUGCCUCUGAGCGAGUUAGUGCGAUAAUCUGGGAAGGAAACGAGUGCAAAAAGAUGGACAUGUCUGUGUUGGAGAUAAGCGGCAUCAUCAUGAGCAGGGUCAAUGCAUACGAGCAAGGUGUUGGCUAUCAGAUGCUGGGGAAUGCAGUCACCGUUGGCUUAGCACUUUUCCCAUUUUUAUAUCGACUUUUCCGAGAGAAGAGCUUUGACCAACUAAAGUCCAUCUCAGCAGAGGAGGUUCUGACCCUCUUCUGUGGUGCGCCACCCGUCACACCUGUUGUUAUUUUGUCUAUAAUUAAUUUUAUUGAAAGAUUGUGUCUUACGUGGAUGUUUUUUUUCAUGAUGUGUGUGGCAGAGAGAACAUAUAAGCAGAGAUUUUUAUUUGCAAAACUCUUCAGCCAUAUUACUUCUGCCAGGAAGGCCAGGAAAUAUGAAAUACCUCAUUUCAGACUUAAAAAGGUGGAGAACAUUAAAAUAUGGUUAUCCCUGCGCUCCUAUCUAAAGAGGCGGGGUCCACAGCGCUCAGUGGACGUGGUUGUGUCCUCCGUCUUCUUACUGACACUUUCAAUUGCUUUCAUUUGUUGUGCACAGGUAAAGUUUCACAUCUCUUUUAAUGGAAGGGAGAAUUCUAGGCAGUGCCCACUUGGCUUUAUAACAGGUUGCGGUGCGCUCACUCGUGUAUUUUAAAUGUGUCUCCAUUCCUUUUACUAUUUUGGAUACCUGCUAUAUACAUAUUAUCUUUUUGAAGUGAGAAUGUUGAUGUCCUUGACAAUUCCUAGAUUUUCAAAAUUAGUUAAGAUGGCAGUUUUUGACUGAAAGCUGUCACAGUCUGAUAGUCGUAAGUGGGGAUUCGACACAUGCUUUCUUCAGCGCUGUUAGCUCGAUACUUGGGGAGAACUUUCUUAUUCAUUACUAUUCAUCUGUUUGCCUGGUGGAGUACAAUCUGCUAUCUGCUUGUUUUGAGGUCUAAAUUGUUCCAUGUUUGACUGGUGUGGACCCCUUUGAGGGCUGCGUCCUAUCGAUAUCCUCCUUUAUCUUCUUUUAAAAUCAUUUUUAUUCUUAUUGUAAGAAGUUAAGAUUUGCUGGACAUGGUGGCACAUACCUUUAAUCUCAGCACUUUGGAGGCAGAGGCAAGUUUGACACCAGCCUGGUCUAUAAAGUGAGUUCCAGGACAGCCAGGGCUGCACAGAGAAACCCUGUCUCGAAAAAAAAAUAACAACAAAAAGGAAGUUACAUGCUCAGUGCACAUCUUCCCAUUUGAGUGUUAACUGUAGUGGUCAGAGUACAGACUUGACUGUUUUCAGUCCUUUGAAAUGGGUAGAAGCUUCCUUUAGUCCCUGGCAUUGCUCACCGGUUUUAUUAAAUUAACCAUUAGCACUUUGGAUUGUGUCUGCUAUUGCUGAGACCAAUGUUCUCUGGUGUUGUAAUUGUAUUGCACAAGUCACAUGACCAGUUUGGGUUGCUUUUUGCUCUUGAUGGAAGUAUACUUAAAUCCAUCACGAUUGUGAAGUUGUUUGUUGUCAACUUAAAAAUACUUAAAGUAUUUUUGUUUGCUUGUUUGCUUGAGACACAAUCUCAUGAUGUAACCUGGGAUAGCCCCAAAUGGUGGCAGAUGUCUAUAACCCCAGCAGUUGAAAGAGGAAGGCAGAAGGAUCAGGAGUUCAGAGAGGCCAUCCUUAACUACAUGUAGUGUGAUGUGUAUAGCCGGGGAUGUGUGGGUCCCCAGGCCUAGUAGCAGGUUCUUCAAGGUCACAAGACAUUCCUGAAUGAUGCUUACAACUGGGAGUUCUUGAUCUGGGAAACAGCAUUGCUGCUGUUUUUGCUUCGCCUGGCCUCACUGGGGUCAGAAACCAACAAGAAGUACAGCAAUGUUUCCAUCCUGCUCACUGAACAGAUUAAUUUAUAUCUUAAAAUGGAAAAAAAGCCAAAUAAGAAAGAACAGCUCACGCUAGUGAAUAAUGUAUUGAAGCUGUCCACAAAGCUGUUAAAGGAGCUGGACACACCAUUUAGACUCUAUGGACUGACCAUGAACCCCUUAAUCUACAACAUCACAAGAGUAGUCAUCCUUUCUGCUGUCUCUGGAGUUAUAAGCGACCUUCUAGGAUUCAACAUAAGACUGUGGAAAAUUAAGUCCUGAGCUGAGAUGUGUGCCUGGACUCUGCUGGCUGGUGUCACUGCUCCCCCACUGAGGACAAAGAUGGCCCACAGAAACCAGUGGCCCCACCUGCAGGCUCACAUGCAUCAGUCUCUCCACUCAGCCCCGUCUAACGAAUGGAGCUUCGGCACCUCCUUUCCCCGGGGCCUGUGUUAAAAACCUGCACUUUCAUGGUUCUCAAGCAACGUGAAUAGUCAGCAAACUAAAGCCUGCCUCACAAAGACUCGGACUAUUCCUGAGUCAGGACAUUUAUCCUGGAGCCUCCAGUACUGUGCUAGUUAUACUUACUGUAAAUAGUCUCUUGGGUAACCAUGGUAGGUGCCCGAAGCAUGACGCAACUGUCUCUUAUUGGAAAUAUUUAAAUGCAUUACUUUUCUACUAUAGUCUAUGGAUUGGGGACUUCUCUAUCAGAAGGAGAGAAACUAUUUUAGGUUGAAUCCAAAUAAAAGAACUUUACUAGAGAA